UGUUGUAAAAGUGUCUUAAUGUGAUCGCAAAAGCAAAUAUUACUACAAGAAACCCAAAAUAUACAGAGUGGACCGAGUAUGAAGGCUAUUUUUAUAACUAGACCCAUUGAAAUUUUAAUUGGUUACCCCUGAUAUAUAUGAAUAUAGUUUACUCUGAAAGGCUGAACAAAAUCAUGGUAGGGCCCCUUUAAAGAAGUAUGUUUGUGUCUGCAGGUUCUUCAGGUGAAUCCAUGCUCGGAGAUCCUGGUCCUAAAGGAAACGAUGGAAAACCGGGACCUCCAGGGAUCCCUGGACCUUCUGGUCAACCAGGUGAAAUUGGGCCACCGGGUGUGUGUGACAACAGUGGAGGCUGCCAAAAAAUUCCCCCGCAGACAGAAGACUCUUAUUAUGGCUACCAGCCAUGACAGCCAGGACUACCCAGCCCAAGCUUAAAAAGACCCUCCAUCUAGAAAUCUGUCAUGACCGCGGUGGGCAUUUGGAACCACAUGUGGAGCCAAGAAAUGAAUCAUUACUUCAGUUUCUGUAAAAAAAAAAAAAAAAACUCCUGAAAUGGGUUUGAUUCAUGUUUAUAAGAUGAAAAGAAAAAAAAUCCUAAGAGAAACCAGUCAAGAACACUGUCGCACUGAAGCCUUUUGUUUCUUGUUUCUGUUUCGUCUUUGUUGUGCACUGCUGUUUGUGUUCUACUUUUGUGUGUUUUGGUCUAACCUAAACUGCCUCAAACACGUUUGUUAUUCUAUGUCAUGAAACUGUGAGGUUAUCCAAUGUAAGAUAUUUUGUAUAUUUUAUUUGCUUUAUCUUUAAUUGUGUAUAUUUUACAGUAUAAAAUUAUAACUGAUAAUUUAUCUUAGUUUAUGUUAUUUUCAGAUUUUUGUAGCUUUAAGUUGAUUAUCAUCGCAUACAAAAGUUUAGAAGGUAAUGUUGAAAUGUUUUUGGGGGGCACGGUGACAGUUUUGUUAUUGUUUCCUUUAAUAAAAUAAAUCCCACCAUUUUUGUCUUAUCAAUUUUGUGUUGUUAUUAGAAUAACUUUUAAUAAAACUACGAACUGUUUGAUGUUUUAAAAUUAUUUAUGUUCAGAAAAAAAACAA
rnacentral:lncRNA from 1 species